rnacentral:rRNA from 1 species
UACGGAGGGGGGCUAGCGUUGUUCGGAAUUACUGGGCGUAAAGCGUACGUAGGCGGCUUUGUAAGUUAGAGGUGAAAGCCCGGGGCUCAACCCCGGAAUUGCCUUUAAGACUGCAUCGCUUGAAUCAUGGAGAGGUGAGUGGAAUUCCGAGUGUAGAGGUGAAAUUCGUAGAUAUUCGGAAGAACACCAGUGGCGAAGGCGACUCACUGGACAUGUAUUGACGCUGAGGUACGAAAGCGUGGGGAGCAAACAGGG